AGCGAACGCUGGCGGCAGGCCUAACACAUGCAAGUCGAACGAACUCUUCGGAGUUAGUGGCGGACGGGUGAGUAACACGUGGGAACGUGCCUUUUGGUUCGGAAUAACUCAGGGAAACUUGUGCUAAUACCGAAUGUGCCCUUCGGGGGAAAGAUUUAUCGCCAUUAGAGCGGCCCGCGUCUGAUUAGCUAGUUGGUGAGGUAACGGCUCACCAAGGCGACGAUCAGUAGCUGGUCUGAGAGGAUGACCAGCCACACUGGGACUGAGACACGGCCCAGACUCCUACGGGAGGCAGCAGUGGGGAAUCUUGCGCAAUGGGCGAAAGCCUGACGCAGCCAGGCCGCGUGAAUGAUGAAGGUCUUAGGAUUGUAAAAUUCUUUCACCGGGGCCGAUAAUGACGGUACCCGGAGAAGAAGCCCCGGCUAACUUCGUG
rnacentral:rRNA from 1 species